rnacentral:rRNA from 1 species
GCCAGCAGCCAUAUCACCCUGCAGCUCUCAACUAGCUAACUAAGCAGGGUUGAGCCUGGUCAGUACCUGGAUAAGAGACUUAUUGGGAAGCUAUGGUUGCUGCUGGAA